CUUUGCUCCUUUGCCUGGGAGCUUCCCCCUAUGGACUCCCCAGACCUACCGCCCAUGCUCCAGACCUGGCAUGCAACUCCUAGUAUGCUGACAUCACAAUGCGACAAGGCUAUGACAGGAUAUUCUGUCACUAUGUACAUUUCAUCACCUACUGACUCAUGCUGUUCUGUUCUGGAUUUGGCAGUUUUUGUGGCCAGGCCUGGACCCUAAACCCACACUCUCUCAGCUCAACCCCACUAUUUGCUCUAUGCCUCUUCAGCCUCACAUCCAUUCGACCUGACCAAUGACAUUAAGAUCUCAACCAGCCUCUGCUGAAAAGAGCCUUAUGGCCUGUCCCCUCCUGAAUACACGAGGAUGUGGAAACCCAUGAAAAGACUUACUGCAUCAAAAGCGCGAGGGACACUGCAGGCCCCUCCCCACCAUAUCCCAUGGAAACAAUGACAGCGCCCUCCCACCGUCAGCGCUUGGAGGGACCCCGUCAAGCAUGUCUUUGUCACCAGAGUUGCUGAGCACCGUGCCUGCAUAUAUUACUGUAAUAAAUCCUGGUAGACUGAACUAAUCAUAUCAUACAGUCUGUAUGUACGACCAGUCGUGAAAAUGCCUCCUGGAUCACAGUUUGAGAACCGCUGUUUUAACAAACUAUCUAAAACUGUAGCAUCAUGUACAAUACAGCAUGACAUGCCAUACUCUCCCCUUGGUACUGUUAUCAUUAAC